AUUGAACGCUGGCGGCAGGCCUAACACAUGCAAGUCGAGCGGAGCGGCGGACGGGUGAGUAAUGCCUAGGAAUCUGCCUGGUAGUGGGGGAUAACGUCCGGAAACGGGCGCUAAUCCCGCAUACUAUCCGAUGAGCCUAGGUCGGAUUAGCUAGUUGGUGGGGUAAAGGCUCACCUGGGCGACGCUCCCUAGCUGGUCCGAGCGGAUGCACAGCCACACUGGAACUGAGACACGGUCCAGACUCCUACGGUGGGCAGCAGUGGGGAAUAUUGCACAAUGGGCGCAAGCCUGAUGCAGCCAUGCCGCGUGUAUGAAGAAGGCCUUCGGGUUGUAAAGUACUUUCAGCGGGGAGGCGUUACCCGCAGAAGAAGCACCGGCUAACUCCGUGCCAGCCGCCGCGGUAAUUC
rnacentral:rRNA from 1 species